rnacentral:rRNA from 1 species
AAUCAACGCUGGCGGCGUGCCUCAGACAUGCAAGUCGAACGAUUAAAGCUCUCUUCGGAGAGUGCAUAGAGUGGCGCACGGGUGAGUAACACGUAAGUAAUCUACCUUCGAGUGGGGAAUAACGUCCGGAAACGGACGCUAAUACCGCAUAAUGCAGCGGCAUCGUAAGAUGACAGUUGUUAAAGAUUUAUCGCUUGAAGAGGAGCUUGCGGCAGAUUAGCUAGUUGGUAAGGUAAUGGCUUACCAAAGCUACGAUCUGUAACCGGUCUUAGAGGACGGUCGGUCACACUGACACUGAAUAACGGGUCAGACUCCUACGGAGGCAGCAGUCGGGAAUUUUGGGCAAUGGGCGAAAGCCUGACCCAGCAACGCCGCGUGAAGGAUGAAGUAUUUCGGUAUGUAAACUUCGAAAGAAUAGGAAGAAUAAAUGACGGUACUAUUUAUAAGGUCCGGCUAACUACGUGCCAGCAGCCGCGGUAAU